UGGCAAGAUGUUGGCAUAGCCGA
rnacentral:miRNA from 1 species